rnacentral:misc_RNA from 1 species
UCACAGAAUUCCUAUUCUCACUACUCUUUCAGUCCCAGUGAUAAAACAUUUGAAUUUAUAAAUAGUCGACUUAUUCUUUUGACUCAUUGAUCACCCAUUACAUUAAAUAUAAAUACAAUGACAUAAUUUAUACCUUUACAAAUUUAGUAAAAGAACUGUCUUUACAUUUUUAAUUUAAGAAUUUACCGUCACAGUUUACUUGACCGUGACGGAAAAGACUUAAAGCUGAACAUUAAACACUAAUAUAUCACAAGAAAUUUCAACUAGUAUUGCAUUUAGAAAGAAUAAAAUGAUUAUGAUAUAUUACAUCAAAGCACAAUAAAGAAAAUAAAUACAUAUAACCUAAAUAUCUGUGAACAAAACAUAUGUAUCUUACCGUCACAGCCGUGACGGUAAAUGUCCCAAAAUAACCUGAUUAAAAAAAAAUCGUCAAAAAUGCAACGAAACCAUGCUAAAGUUGUUUUCAUUCACCAAAGACUUGCACAAACGCACUAGAUUUUUUAUUGACAAUACUGUGUAGCCAGUGUAUGCCAUUCCGAAGAUAUAUGAAAUCUAACACCUUUAAAUUUUGUCCCAUGGAAGAAAGUCUUCACCGCAACGGUACUUUAACCAAAAAUUACCAUGUUUACAAAACACGUGAUAUCAAUUCUCUGAUGUCAUCGAUGACGUUAGCUCCCGAAAACGCGCGCCCAUUUUGUUUCUGGUGAGAUGGCGAUAUGGCUGCAGAAGAAAAUAAGGUAACAUUUUUGUAUGUUAAAUCGUAUAAUUAGCACUGUCUUCACCGUUUAUUUCAUAAAUACAUUUUUACCAUGUCCUUGUAGAACUUCUGUCUUUUAUGUAUGUGGGUAGUGUACACAGUCACAAUCCAAAGUCAUUUUUGUGUAUACAGCGCCAGACCGGCGUGUAAACAAAUGUUUUCUGAAAAAAGUCUUCACCGUCACGGUCUUUACCAUCAUACCAUCAAGGUGACGGUAAAGACGUGACGGUAAAGACAAACAGACAAAAAGGCUCUAAAAUUCGUAUAUGUAGAUCUACUAUAGAAUAUCAUUCUUAAGCAGUAAAAGUCAUACAUUUCUAUUUCUGUACACAGAAAUAAUAUUUUAGCGUAGAUUUCAUAAUGUUUUCAUUUUAGGGCGAUUCGAAAACGACAGCAGACAAUAUGUAGAUCUAUAGCAGUAUCUUUUUCUUUACUUUGCAGAUUGGUCCAUCUAAACUUUCCAGAGAAAAUGAGAUACUGAAUGAAUAUAUGAGAGUAAACGCACUUUUGAUUGACAUUGAAAUAGAGCAUAGACGUGUAUUAAACGUAAUAAGUAAUUUGAAUCUCCCACAUUUAGAAAAUAGAGACACAGAAGUUUUAGAACAGCUUCAGCAAAGAAAACAACAGCUUAAAGAAAUUAUAGCAAGCUUUCUGUAAAUUAACACAGACAUACAUCUAUAUUAGAUAAAGAUGCCCAUGACACCUGCUGAAAGGGCGAAGAAAUAUCACGAUUCAAUUAAAAAUGACCCUACACGGCAUUUGCAGUAUCUUGAGAAAGAGCGACAAAGGUACAAGAAAAGAAAAGGCGAAGGCUAUUAUGACAUAAGUGGGAAAAGCGAACGCGAAAAAAACCUAUUAAAGCGCAAGUGGAAGAUUAAGAAACGUGAACAAAGAGAACGCAAAAAACAAGAACAGGAAGGAAUCAAAUUUGCAAACAAUAACACUCCUGUAUCAUCACCAGUUAGAAUCGAACAAGACCAACCAGAACAUGAAAUACAAGCGGUUCGCCAGGGAAACAGAUCUUUUAGUCCUAUGCAGCAAAGAAAUACAACUCAUCAAGCUGAAAGUGGUAAAAAGAGAAAGCGAAGAGCUCAGGCAAAAGCAUACAGAAAAAUAGAUAAAUUAGAAAAAGAGAAGCACAGAUACAAAGUGUUGUGGGAGAGAACAAGAAAAGGAUUACAACGUGCGAGACAGAGACUAGAAAAAGAAAAGAAAGACAACGCUGAAAGGUCACAAAAUAAAAGACAGACAACUGUACAGAGAAUUUAUAAGAAGACGGGUCACUCAGUCACAUGGAACAUAGAAAUGAGGCGACAGGUCAGCCUGUUCUUAGAAGAAGAUAUCCACAGUAUACAGGCCCCCGGAAAGAAGGACACGAUCACAAAAGGAAAGAUUAAGAAGCAGAAACGUUAUUUAUGUGACACACUCUUAAACUUAUAUCAGAAAUUCGUAAAAGAAAACCGCGAACACGGGAUGUCUUAUUCAUCUUUUUGUAGAUUUUGUCCAUUUUGGAUUGUUCAGAGAAAAUCUGACGCCAGAGAAACAUGUUUGUGUAAACUGCAUGAGAACAUAAAGUAUAGAGUUGAGAAGUUGUAUAGAUUAGGAGUAAUUCAAGAUUCAAACCCAGACAUUGUGGUGAACCAGCUAAUGUGUGACAACAAAUGUAAGGAAUGCGCGUACAGGGAUUGUUCUAAAUGUCAAGAUAAGGGCCUGGAUGUAUGUACCGAAGUGCUGAGUGAACGGAAGGGUGAACAGGUUCAAUAUCAACAGUGGACAACACGGACUGAGAAUUACGAAUCUAAGGAUGGGACAAAAACAAUUCAGAAAACCGUGAAAGUCACUGAACAAGACACCGUUGAGACGUUGUUGGUAGAGACACAAACAUUACUGAAAGAUAAAUACGCUAAGCAUGUUUUCAAUAUUAAACAUCAAUACAUAACACUAAAACAGUAAAAGAAAAUUUAGACAAUUCUACAGCAAUUAUGCAUGUUGAUUUCUCAGAAAAUUACACUGCAAAACUUGCAAGUGAGGUUCAGUCGAUGCACUUUGGGGGUUCGCAUAAGCAAGUUUCUCUACAUACUGUUGUCGUUUAUACCAAGGACAGUAUCAAAUCAAUCUGUACAGUCUCUGAGAAUACUUACCACGGUCCUGGGGCAAUAUGGGCACACCUUACACCUGUUUUGCAGUACAUAAAGUUGUCCUAUCCAGACAUCACCACUAUCCACUUCGUCAGCGAUGGCCCUUGUACACAAUAUAGGUCUAAAAAUCACUUUUUUAUGUUACAUCGGCACAUUCUUGGUAACUUUGAAUUUGAAAUAGCAACCUGGAAUUUCACAGAAAGUGGCCACGGUAAAAGUGCUGCUGACGGUGUAGGGGGUACAGAGAAGCGUACUGCCGAUAGACUUGUGGCAACAGGCACAGAUAUACCUGAUGCAAAAGCAUUUUAUGAAAAUGUCGGAAAGCACCUAGAAAACGUCCAACUAUUUCUGAUUGAAUCGGAUGACAUUGAAAGUUCAAGUAAUUCUGUUCCAAAGGAUCUCAAAACAGUCAAAGGAACGAUGAAGCUACAUCAAGUAACGGUUAGUAAACAUCACCGAGGAAUAAUGCUUCUCAAAGAGUUGAGCUGUUUCUGCAAUUGGCCAAAUCCAUGUAGCUGUUAUGAAGGCGACGUUUCGGAACACAGUUUUCCAGCUGAAACAGGUGCCGGUGAUGGAACGCCUCUAUUGAAUCAGCCUGUAAGUGAGCCUGAUGUGACAAAGGACAUUACCACUGUGGACCCACACCCAGAUAUGGUUGGCACAUGGUGCGUGAUACGAUAUGAAGGCGAGGCUUAUCCGGGAAUUAUUCAGGAUAUUGAUGACAAGUCGGCCGAGGUUAAUUGCAUGUGCAGAAUUGGAGAGAAUCGUUUCUUCUGGCCACUUGUUAAAGAUGUUAUUUGGUACAGUUGGUCAGAUGUACUAAUGAACAUUCAAGAACCUCGUCCCGUAACAUCGUCCCGUGGAUCAAGACACGUGCAGGUCGAUCCAGAAUGUUGGAAUCUCGUCAGAGCAAAACUAGCUAACUUAACCAGUUAUCGAACGUUGAUGUUACAUACUGUUAAUCUGUUUUCUUGGAUUCAAUAGUUUGUUUUUAAGGUUUCGUUUUAAAAGAGAACAUGCUCCCUGUUAGGACACAUUACAAUGUGUUAAAUGACGGAUCAUUUUCGCUGUAAUAUAUCACUUAGCUUUGAGUGAAAUUAGUGACAUAUAUGUCUGAGCAUUUUGAACAUAUUUGCAUUCCAUGCAUGUAAGUAAGUUUCCAAUUCAUUAGUAUAAUGUCGUUUCUGUUUAAGCUGUUUACGAGUUUAAAAUAAAGGUAGCAAAAUGCAUUUUCUUAGUUUUAUAUGUACAAGGUGAAAAGGGGCUUUUACCGUUACAUGCCUGUCUUUACCACUACCAAAAGUCUUUACCAUAACAACGUAUUUUUUGUUUUAAUUCUUGUUACAAAUAGCUUACCUGUGUUAGUAUAUUAUUUCUAUGAUGGGAAGACAUGAUUAUAAAACAAUUCAAGUAUUUCUUCAAUGGUGUACCGAAGUAUGAAUCUAGAUAGUGCAAUAAAAUUGCACUUCCGAGAAGAAUAUUUAUCCCAGUAGUGUUUUAUAUGUUAAUGAUCAAUGUAUAUUAAAAUAAAAAAGGUUUUAAAAGAAUGACAAGUUGAAUUUAACACAUUAUAACGCAUUUCAAUACUUUAUUUAAUAAAAAAUCAAUUUAGAGCUUGUAUAUAGCAAAAUAAUUCUCCGUCAUGGUAAAGACUAUUUUUCUCGACUAUGAAAGUUCAAGGUCAAAUUUAUAAAGGUCAUUAUGGUGUUACUGUUUGCCAACAAUCAAAACAAUAUGAUAACAGGUUAAAAGUGAUCAAUUAACAACAAAUCAAUAUGUUUUUUUUGAAUUUUACGUUUUACAACAUUUAAAAUGGACUGUCUGAGAAUGACCCAAAUGGAGGCUAGACUGCAUGGUGGUUUUCACUGCCAUUGAUAUGGUUAACCUUACUUGAUACAAAUAUUAAAAAUCCCAACAAAUAUAUUCAUUUUCAUGAUAAAAAAGUAUUGCUUUUAUGAUAACGUUAAUGUUUUGGACAUACUUUUCCAUUUUAAUAUCACUUAAUCAUAUGACCUACCAGUACACUGAUUCAGGUGUCGGCAUUUAGACAUAACGCUUAUAGGGCUCAUGUUAUUAAAAUGGCUCUGAUUUUUAAUUGAAAGCUAGUUUUAAAAAAUUUGGAUCUCUUUAGGAUGCACAAGUAAAUAAUGUAUCAAAAUAAAUUCAUUUUGAUAUAUUUAACCCAAGUUUAGACAAAUGCAUAAGAGAUGAAUCCUUAUCCCCACC